rnacentral:rRNA from 1 species
CCUACGGGAGGCAGCAGUGGGGAAUAUUGCACAAUGGGCGCAAGCCUGAUGCAGCAACGCCGCGUGCGGGAUGACGGCCUUCGGGUUGUAAACCGCUUUCAGCAGGGACGAAGCUUUUUGUGACGGUACCUGCAGAAGAAGCACCGGCUAACUACGUGCCAGCAGCCGCGGUGAUACGUAGGGUGCGAGCGUUGUCCGGAUUUAUUGGGCGUAAAGGGCUCGUAGGCGGUUGAUCGCGUCGGAAGUGGAAACUUGAUGCUUAACGUUGAGCGUGCUUUCGAUACGGGUUGACUUGAGGAAGGUAGGGGAGAAUGGAAUUCCUGGUGGAGCGGUGGAAUGCGCAGAUAUCAGGAGGAACACCAGUGGCGAAGGCGGUUCUCUGGACCUUUCCUGACGCUGAGGAGCGAAAGCGUGGGGAGCGAACAGGCUUAGAUACCCUGGUAGUCCACGCUGUAAACGGUGGGUACUAGGUGUGGGGUCCAUUCCACGGAUUCUGUGCCGUAGCUAACGCAUUAAGUACCCCGCCUGGGGAGUACGGCCGCAAGGCUAAAACUCAAAUGAAUUGACGGGG